CGGGGGGGGCAAGCGUUGUUCGGAAUUACUGGGCGUAAAGGGCUCGUAGGUGGCCAACUAAGUCAUACGUGAAAUCCCUCAGCUUAACUGGGGAACUGCGUCUGAUACUGGAUGGCUUGAGUUUGGGAGAGGGAUGCGGAAUUCCAGGUGUAGCGGUGAAAUGCGUAGAUAUCUGGAGGAACACCGGUGGCGAAGGCGGCAUCCUGGACCAAUACUGACACUGAGGAGCGAAAGCCAGGGGGAGCAAACGGGAUUAGAUACCCCGGUAGUCCUGGCCCUAAACGAUGAAUGCUUGGUGUGGCGGGUAUCGAUCCCUGCCGUGCCGAAGCUAACGCAUUAAGCAUUCCGCCUGGGGAUACGGUCGCAAGGCUG
rnacentral:rRNA from 1 species